UCACCAUGUGGGUCAUCGCGCAGG
rnacentral:siRNA from 1 species